GACGAACGCUGGCGGCGUGCUUAACACAUGCAAGUCGAACGGAAAGGCCCUGCUUGCCGGGUACUCGAGUGGCGAACGGGUGAGUAACACGUGGGUGAUCUGCCCUUCACUUCGGGAUAAGCCUGGGAAACUGGGUCUAAUACCGGAUAGGAGCCAUUUUUAGUGUGAUGGUUGGAAAGUUUUUUCGGUGUAGGAUGAGCUCGCGGCCUAUCGGCUUGUUGGUGGGGUAAUGGCCUACCAAGGCGGCGACGGGUAGCCGGCCUGAGAGGGUGGACGGCCACAUUGGGACUGAGAGACGGCCCAGACUCCGACGGGAGGCAGCAGCGGGGAAGAUUGAACAAUGGGCGCAAGCCGGAUGCAGCGACGCCGCGGGGGGGAUGACGGCCUUGGGGUUGUAAACUCCUUUCGCUAGGGACGAAGCUUUUUGUGACGGUACCUAGAGAAGAAGCACCGGCUAACUACGUG
rnacentral:rRNA from 1 species